AUGUCUCUGUGCUAUGGUUCAAGUGGUGACAUGCAGGUGUGGAAGUCAGAAAAUUCUGAGUUUGAAGCCAUUGUGCACUUCACCUCCACUUUUGCACACCUCCUAGACUUCAUUCAUCAAUACGCACUGCAAGUGACUUCCAGGGUUUUUAUCUUAAAAUCAGAUUACAGGUCACAGCACUGUAGUAUUCAGUGUGUGUAGGAUCCAGAAGAUGCGACCAGUAGUGGUGAGUGAGAAAACAGCCACCCAAAAUCCAGCCCUUAAGUAUUCGCUAUGGAGUAGGUGCCCUUGGGGCAUUCUUUUUUUUUUCCGCGUGUUCUGAUUUUCACCUGACUGCCCCAAUUAGACCAAAAUAUGUUCAUAUAGUAAAUACUGAAAUAACCUCAUCAAAAUACCAUGCACUGUGUCAAGUCUGUCACGCCACUCUGAGUUUCAACUCGCUAAUUAUCUUGAACAGCAUAUGGAAAUAAGGUAGCAUGAGGCCACGCAAAGUACUAUGAUUUUAACCAGCUCCUUUCUAAUGCCUUAGUCUUCAGAUAUCUCCUCCAAUGACUUUUAUCUUUUAAUCUGCCAUAAACAAAAAGAUUGCAUGAAUGCAACCAUCGUAGCGUUUGCUACCACUGUCUCCUCAGUGCAGCCUAUGGAUCAGUGAUGCUUCUUCAUUACUGUUUCAAGAGAACCAAAACAAUUCAAGAGUCAGUAUGAUGUUUCAGUGUGCAACCUACCCCUUACAAAGAUAUCACGGUGUUUAACAGAACGUGGAGACUUUCUGAUGCAGAUAUAUGUGCAUGCAUGCAUACACACAGGAAAAAGAAAAGGAAAAAAAAUAGAUUGCCCUUUCCUUGGAACUGCGGAAGUGUCAUCUCUGGCUUCAUUUUAUAAUCCCCAAGGAAUGUGCUUCUCUUUGACUUCAUCUGACCUUUAAGAGAACGGUCUGCUAAUGCUAACAGUGUACCACUGUGCCUGAAGCACACUGAAAAAUGAGACUGACUUCUGGAUAUGCGUAGUGCACACAAGCAAAGAAAGCCCUUUUAAUGCUGAACAGUGACAGUCAAACCACCGGAGGUUUGAGGUUCAGUUAUGCACACCAAACGGAUGAUUACCCAAACCUUUAACCAAAACUCUUUGUCCUUUUAACACAGAAGGAAGUCUUUCAAGAGAAGGUGUGGGAAUUCAAGCUUCUUGCUUUGUUGUACUCAGCUGGUUUGGCUUUAUUUUUUUCUGUGGAGAAGUUUCAGGUCUCUCUGGAACAGCUACCCUCCCAUGAUGCACGCUUUGCACAAAGGGCCAGCACUAGAACAAGUGCAGAGUACGUGAAAAUAACAAAAGAGAAUGAACUUGAAGAGCUUAACAAAGCUGCAAGACCAGAGCCUAGAAUGAGAGAUUCCAAUUAAAAUCUGAAAGAUUUGACAGAUACUUCGGAUGUAGUCUGAUCUACGUUUAGAAUUGACUCUGUUCUUUACGAAGUCCUUGAACUAAUUUUAUCUGGACUGAUUUGUAACAGACUACCCUGAGUGCUGUGUUAAAACAGUCCUGGGGAUCUUACACCCACACUGAUACACAGACUUCAAAUUUUAAGACUCUGAAUAGUUGGAGUUUUUUUCCUCUGGCAAACCGGCAGUAUGACCAAACAUCUCUUGCUAGCUCCCAUUAAAGGGAACAUAAUAUAGUGAUUCCACAAGGCAAACAAUAGGACAGCGCGUAAGACAGCACAUAUUAAAAGGAAAAUUUAAAAUAGCAGCCAAUAGAAUGCACACAAUUCUUACUCUAUUAAAUGUAAGGAAAAUACCAACAAACAUCACAACAAAGUACGUAAUUACAGUGCUUUCUGUGAGCACCCAGAAAUGGAAUUACCACUGAUACCACUGUCUAUACCAUUGACAGGGCAGCAGCAAAAGAAUGACUGAAACAACUGGGAUUAGAACAAAGUCAAGACUAUAUAUUCCACUGCCUUUCUUUACAUUCCUCCUCCACAGUAUCACAGAACUGCAGGAGUUGGAAGGAACCUCAAGAGAUGAUCGAGUGCAACCCCCCUGCUAAAGCAGUACCCUACAAUAGGCCGCGCAGAGAUGAACACUGAGUAUGGAACUGCAAAGAGGAAUUAGCUCCCAUCUACUGUUUAUUCUCCCUUACAACCCAAACCAGGACAAUAUGAGCACCCAAAACCAAAGUUUGCAAACAAAUCAAAGACAGGCUUGGAAACAACGUAUAUGUAUUUCUCAUGAGAUAAGACAGUCAAACUUUAAUCCACAGCGUUGGAUGUUACAGAUACAAGCACUAAACUUGCUUAAAAAAUACUGCACCUCAGUUUAGACUGUGAUGUGUUGGAAAAAAGGAAGAAUCAGAUAAACAUCAAACCUCCAGUGCUAAGUUCAGUCACUGUAAGAAUAUUUGCAGAUCAUCUCACUCAAACAGCAUGCUUCGUAUGACUCAGGUAAUAAACCCCAAGUUUAUGUUUGUGAUGUAUCAGCCAGUCUCUUAGGACAGUCUCUUGAAAUGUAUUGUAACUGCACAAAUAGAUUUUGUUACUUGCUGUGACUGUUAAAGAGAAAAGACGACUACGUAGGUGGGGAGACAGCAGAAAAGAAGUAAAAUAAGGCAAGUCCCAGCAAAGAGAAGCUUAUGGGAAAGUUGCUCCCCACCCUCACUACAACUACAUUUGUUUUUCACACAGCAGCCACGCUUUCAAAUGAUUAUUUCAAAUCCUACGGCACCAGACCAGCUUGCACAGGCUGAUAUCUAGCUCCAAGACCAGUACUCUAUUCUACUGCAAACCAUUUCAUCUUCACAAAUAGCUCAUCACCAUAAGAGUCUCAUAUGGACAGAAAGGUUCUCAUCUCUCGAGCUUCCCAUGAACUUUAAUUAAAUAACUUGUAGCAGGAGUCCAGGGGCACCAGCCUGGUUUUAAUUGUGUUUCAUUAAAGCAAGUACUGCUAUCGUCCAAACAAACUGUGAGUUCUCCAGUGUGGCCUGAACUACCUCUGCAAAACCCAUGUGAACUGCAAGUUCCAGCAUAUGCUAUUUGGAAUACAGUACUGUAAAGAAAUUAAAUGCUAAGGCUAGAUGGUCAAAUUUUAAAGCUACUUGAUUAAAAGCAAAACAAACU